AGAACGCGCGCGAAAUCCGAAACUGCACCACGUGACACGAGGCGAGAGCACCUUUGCGCGCGCAUCGAUUUCAGAGCUCUCAAGCGUACAGAGCUACUACCAUAUCCGCUAUCUGCCGAGAAGCGGCGUUCAGGUGAUCUCUGACCAGGAGUCGCACCCGCACCCUUGUGGCCACAUGUGCAUCCCCCGGGUAGACCACCCAUGGCUUCCCACAGACGUAAAUUCCUGAAUCAGUGGCCUCCACGUGGCCAACCAUGAGCUGGGCAGGUUCGUCCGCGGUGGAGAAGUAAGCCCUGCCUGCCCAGACGUGGCCUGGACGGUGUUUGGCCUGCAGGACGUUGCCGGAGCCCAUAUCGACGGAGUACACGGGACCUGGGAUACCCUGCUUGUACCAGUUGACUCCUUGGGCCCAGGAGUCUUGCGUCGGAUGCCUCAGAGGACAAGGCAGCGCCGUCUCUCCACCCACACGGCUUGUUACCGUCGAGCCGUCUGUAGAGUCUACGGAAAGAAACAAAGAGAACACCGUUGAAACAAAAAAAGGUAUAUUGCAUGAUGG